rnacentral:rRNA from 1 species
CCCGGCGCACGGGUGAGUAACACGUAUGCAAUCCACCUGUAACAGGGGGAGUAACCCGGAGAAAUCCGGACUAAUACCCAUAAUAUGGGCGCUCCGCAUGGAGAGUCCAUUAAAGAGAGCAAUCUUGGUUACAGACGAGCAUGCGUUCCAUUAGAUAGUAGGCGGGGUAACGGCCCACCUAGUCUUCGAUGGAUAGGGGUUCUGAGAGGAAGGUCCCCCACAUUGGAACUGGGACACGGUCCAA